UAACACAUGCAUGUCUAAGUAUAAAUAGUAUACAGUGAAACUGCGAAUGGCUCAUUAAAACAGUUAUAGUUUAUUUGAUAAUGGAAAGCUACAUGGAUAACCGUGGUAAUUCUAGAGCUAAUACAUGCUGUCAAGCCCAACUUCUCGGAAGGGCUGUAUUUAUUAGAUAUCAAGCCAAUAUUCCUUCGGGUCUAUUGUGGUGAAUCAUAGUAACUGAUCGAAUCCUCAUUUGGAUAAAUCAUUCAAGUUUCUGCCCUAUCAGCUUUCGAUGGUAGUGUAUUGGACUACCAUGGCAUUAACGGGUACGGAGAAUUAGGGUUCGGUUCCGGAGAGGGAGCCUGAGAAACGGCUACCACAUCUAAGGAAGGCAGCAGUGGUGAAAAUUACCCAAUCCUGAUUCAGGGAGGUAGUGACAAGAAAUAGAAAUCUGGGCCACUUUCGUGGUUACGGAAUUUAAAUGAGAACAAUUUAAAAGACUUAUCGAGGAACAAUUGGAGGGCAAGUCUGGUGCCAGCAGCCGCGGUAAUUCCAGCUCCAAUAGCGUAUAUUAAAGUUGUUGCAGUUAAAAAGCUCGUAGUUGAACUUCUGUACAGUCUCAUUUCUGGCUUAGGUCAAGAUGUUGGCUGUGCAUCCGCUUGCAAAGCUGGUUCGGCCUUAACUGGUCGGCUAGUAGAGUAAGCCCUUUACUUUGAAAAAAUU
rnacentral:rRNA from 1 species